AGGCGUAGUCGAUGGACAACAGGUUAAUAUUCCUGUACUAAUCUAUAGAAUGAUGGAGUGACGGAAAAUGAUAGUAAGGACCCCUUAUUGGAUUGGGGUGUAAGCACUAAAGAUGAUGUGUAGGCAAAUCCGCACAUGGAAUUCUAGGUGUUAUGCAUAGGGAACAUUUUACAAGUACUGAAUCAUAUGAUUUAUUUUUCCAAGAAAAGCUUCUAGUUUAUCUAUAGAUACCCGUACCGAGAACGGACACACGUCCCCAAGAUGAGUAUUCUAAGGCGAGCGAGACAACUAAUGUUAAGGAACUCUGCAAAAUAACUCCGUAACUUCGGAAGAAGGAGUGCUCUUUUGUAAUGAAAGAGCCGCAGUAAAAUGAGAGGGGCAACUGUUUACCAAAAACACAGCUAUCUGCUAAGUCGUAAGACGAUGUAUAGGUGGUGACGCCUGCCCAGUGCCCGAAGGUUAAGUUGAUGUGUUAGCUUUGCGAAGCAUUGAUAUGAAGCCCGGGUGAACGGCGGCCGUAACUAUAACGGUCCUAAGGUAGCGAAAUUCCUUGUCACCUAAUUAGUGACCUGCACGAAAGGCGUAAUGAUCUCUCUACUGUCUCAACAUUAGACUCGGUGAAAUUAUGGUCCCAGGGAAAGCGCUGGGUACCCGCAUCAAGACGAAAAGACCCCGUGGAGCUUUACUAUAGCUUCGUAUUGAAAAUUGAUUUAACACGUGUAGGAUAGGUGGGAGAUGAUGAUAUUUGGACGCUAGUUCAAAAGGAGUCAACCUUGAAAUACCACCCUUGUUACAUUGGUUUUCUAACUUGCUACCAUUAUCUGGUAGGAGGACAGUGCGUGGUGGGUAGUUUGACUGGGGCGGUCGCCUCCUAAAGAGUAACGGAGGCGUUCAAAGUUACACUCAGUAUGGUCAGAAACCAUAUGGAGAGCGUAAAGGUAUAAGUGUAAUUGACUGCGAGACGUACAUGUCGAGCAGGUGUGAAAGCAGGACUUAGUGAUCCGGCAGUUCAUUGUGGAAUGGCUGUCGCUCAACGGAUAAAAGUUACCCCGGGGAUAACAGAGUUAUCUUCCCCAAGAGAUCACAUCGACGGGAAGGUUUGCUACCUCGAUGUCGGCUCAUCGCAUCCUGGAGCUGAAGUCGGUUCCAAGGGUUGGGCUGUUCGCCCAUUAAAGCGGUACGCGAGCUGGGUUCAGAACGUCGUGAGACAGUUUGGUCCCUAUCUGAUGUGGGCGUUGGAAAAUUGAUGAGAGCUGUUCUUAGUACGAGAGGACCGGAAUGGACGUAUCACUGGUGCUCUAGUUGUUCUGCCAAGAGCAUAGCUAGGUAGCUAAAUACGGAAAGGAUAACCGCUGAAAGCAUCUAAGCGGGAAGCCUCCUCAGAGAUGAAUUUUCCCUUGAAAAUCCUUGUAGACUACGAGGUUGAUAGGCUGGAAGUGUACGUGUAGCGAUACAUUUAGC
rnacentral:rRNA from 1 species